CUACGGGGUGCAGCAGUAGGGAAUAUUGGACAAUGGGCGAAAGCCUGAUCCAGCAACACCGCGUGCACGAUGACGGCCUUCGGGUUGUAAAGUGCUUUUAGAGGAGAUGAGAAAGGACAGUAUCCUCUGAAUAAGCCUCGGCGAACUACGUGCCAGCAGCCGCGGUAAAACGUAGGAGGCAAGCGUUAUCCGGAUUUAUUGGGCGUAAAGCGCGUGCAGGCGGUCUAGCAAGUUGGAUGUGAAAGCUCCCGGCUCAACUGGGAGAGGUCGUUCAAUACUGUUAGACUAGAGAAUAGGAGAGGGAGGUGGAAUUCCGGGUGUAGUGGUGAAAUGCGUAGAUAUCCGGAGGAACACCAGUGGCGAAAGCGGCCUCCUGGACUAUUUCUGACGCUAAGACGCGAAAGCCAGGGUAGCAAACGGGAUUAGAUACCCGCGUAGUC
rnacentral:rRNA from 1 species